rnacentral:rRNA from 1 species
GUGCCAGCAGCCGCGGUAAGACGUAGGGGGCGAGCGUUGUCCGGAAUUACUGGGCGUAAAGAGCACGUAGGCGGGUAUUUAAGUCAGGUGUGAAAGACCGGGGCUCAACUCCGGGGUUGCACCUGAAACUGGGUAUCUUGAGGGCAGGAGAGGAAAGCAGAAUUCCUGGUGUAGCGGUGAAAUGCGUAGAAAUCAGGAGGAAUACCAGUGGCGAAGGCGGCUUUCUGGACUGACCCUGACGCUGAGGUGCGAAAGCGUGGGUAGCAAACAGGAUUAGAUACCCUGGUAGUCCACGCCGUAAACGAUGGAUACUAGGUGUGGGAGGUAUCGACCCCUUCCGUGCCGCAGCUAACGCAAUAAGUAUCCCGCCUGGGGAGUACGGUCGCAAGGCUGAAACUCAAAUGAAUUGGCGG